rnacentral:rRNA from 1 species
AUACGGAGGUUGCAAGCGUUGUUCGGAAUAACUGGGCGUAAAGGGAGCGCAGGCGGUUUGAUCAGUCCGAAGUGGAAGCCCGGGGCUCAACCCCGGAAGGCCUUUGGAUACUGUCAAACUUGAGUUCGUGAGAGGAGAGUGGAAUUCCAGGUGUAGCGGUGAAAUGCGUAGAUAUCUGGAGGAACAUCGAUGGCGAAGGCAACUCUCUGGCACGAUACUGACGCUGAGGCUCGAAAGCGUGGGGAGCGAACAGGAUUAGAAACCCUAGUAGUCC